CUCUUCUGUCCUGCCUUUCUUUGCAGCCAAGCCUCUUGGUGAAGGUGAUCUGGCUUCUCAACCCACAUCCAGGACUGAGGCUCUGGGAGAUGGUGAGGGUGUGUCUGCAGGGAGGACUUUCCAGGCUCCUGGGCUGGAUGCUGCACGCAAGCCCAACUCCCAUCGCAGGGGUCCUCCAAGAGAAAAGAACAAAGCUACAGGACACCAGAAACCCCUUGAGCCAUCCAUGCUCAAUACCAUGCAGCAAAUGCUGAAGGAAAUGCUGCA